GUGUGCGUAAUUUAAAUAAAAUAUCAUGCUGUGACCAUGACAAUAGGAAAUACCUCACACACC
rnacentral:tRNA from 1 species